rnacentral:rRNA from 1 species
CUGCAACCCGGCUACAUGAAGCUGGAAUCGCUAGUAAUCGCGGAUCAGAAUGCCGCGGUGAAUACGUUCCCGGGUCUUGUACACACCGCCCGUCACACCAUGGGAGCCGGAAAUGCCCGAAGUCAGUGACCCAACCGCAAGGAGGGAGCUGCCGAAGGUGGAGCUGGUAACUGGGGUGAAGUCGUAACAAGGUAAC